AUGCACGCUGGCGGCGUGCUUCACACCUGCAAGUCGAACGGAAAGGCCAGUGCUUGCACUGGUGCUCGAGUGGCGAACGGGUGAGUAACACGUGGGUGAUCUGCCCUGCACUUUGGGAUAAGCCUGGGAAACUGGGUCUAAUACCAGAUAGGACCAUGCUUUGGAUGGUGUGGUGGAAAGUUUUUUCGGUGUGGGAUGAGCUUGCGGCCUAUCAGCUUGUUGGUGGGGUAAUGGCCUACCAAGGCGUCGACGGGUAGCCGGCCUGAGAGGGUGUACGGCCACAUUGGGACUGAGAGACGGCCCAGACUCCUACGGGAGGCAGCAGUGGGGAAUAUUGCACAAUGGGCGCAAGCCUGAUGCAGCGACGCCGCGUGGGGGAUGACGGCCUUCGGGUUGUAAACUCCUUUCGCAACUGACGAAGCUUUUUGUGACGGUAGGUUGAGAAGAAGCACCGGCUAACUACGUG
rnacentral:rRNA from 1 species